GCGGGUGUAGCUCAAUGGCAGAGUCUCUGCUUCCCAAGCAGAUUGCGCGGGUUCGAUUCCCGUCACCCGCUCCG
rnacentral:tRNA from 1 species